GCGUGUGUGAAAGAAGGCCUUCGGGUUGUAAAGCACUUUCAGUCGUGAGGAAGGUAGUGUAGUUAAUAGCUGCAUUAUUUGACGUUAGCGACAGAAGAAGCACCGGCUAACUCCGUGCCAGCAGCCGCGGUAAUACGGAGGGUGCGAGCGUUAAUCGGAAUUACUGGGCGUAAAGCGCAUGCAGGUGGUUUGUUAAGUCAGAUGUGAAAGCCCGGGGCUCAACCUCGGAAUAGCAUUUGAAACUGGCAGACUAGAGUACUGUAGAGGGGGGUAGAAUUUCAGGUGUAGCGGUGAAAUGCGUAGAGAUCUGAAGGAAUACCGGUGGCGAAGGCGGCCCCCUGGACAGAUACUGACACUCAGAUGCGAAAGCGUGGGGAGCAAACAGGAUUAGAUACCCUGGUAGUCCACGCCGUAAACGAUGUCUACUUGGAGGUUGUGGCCUUGAGCCGUGGCUUUUCGGAGCUAACGCGUUUAAGUAGACCGCCCUGGGGAGUACGGGUCGCAAGAUUAAAA
rnacentral:rRNA from 1 species